rnacentral:rRNA from 1 species
GACGUGAAAGACUAGUGUUAUUCAUCUUUAAUAGGUUUAAAGGGUACGUAGACGGUAUUUUAAGCCUAAAAUAGGUACUAUUAUACUAGAGUUAAAUGUAAGGAGUGUAGUAUUUGGGGAUAGAGAGAUGUAAUCCUGUGAUACCCCAAGGACAGGUAUAAGCGAAAGCAACCUCUUAUGUAAUAACUGACGUCCAGGGACGAAGGCUUUGGUCGCGAUAGG